AAAAACAUUAUAAACAUCCGUCGUAUAAUGUUGGGAAUAUGGCCCAGGAGUAUCUACCAGAGCACCGUAAAUGGCUCUGACUACGAGGAGGAGGUAAGUUGCC
rnacentral:ncRNA from 2 species